GGAGGGGUGGCAGAGCCUGGUUUAUUGCGGCGGUCCCGAAAACCGCUGGGCGCUUCGGCGUCCCGUGAGUUCAAAUCUCACCCCCUCCG
rnacentral:tRNA from 1 species